GCGGGGAUAGCUCAGUUGGGAGAGCGUCAGACUGAAGUACAACUUCCGUCAUUAAUCUGAAGGUCGUGUGUUCGAUCCACACUCACCGCA